CGCAGCCAGGGGUGGGAGGUGGAUUUAGUUCUGAUGGCAGCGCUGUAAGGGAGGCGCUGGAAGGAAAACUUUGUCAAGGAGCAGCAGCCUCUGUUGUCUGUCAUCCCCACUGACCCGAAGAAGCAGCGAAUGGCUGGGGGAUUUCAGGCAGAUGUGGGUAGAGAAACCCUUUCAGCCGCUCUGACCAGCGCGGGACUGCAGGAGGGAUAGGAAAUAUUGUCCUGCAGGUUAGCUGGUGGAUUUAUUCAUCUGACUUAGAGUAGAAUCCUACAGGGAAGAGCAGAGAUGGAUGCGAUGCCGCGCGGGAGGAAAUGUGGAGGCCCUGAAGGGUUUUAAGGAGAACCUCGAGAUUCUGACUUGGGUGGCCGUGGAGGGUCCCCAACUGAGGAAUUAAGGAGGAAGAGGAGCAA
rnacentral:lncRNA from 1 species